GGCUUGGGUCUCCUGGAGAUCAGGAGGAGACAUUGGAGAAGGCGCAGGCAUAUACUGAGGUGUGGCAGUGAGCUGAGGCUAUGGUGAAGGCUCCUAUGGCCACCCAGGGCGAGGUGAUUACUGAUUAAACUCUAAAGGAGACACAGAACAAGGACAGCGGAGGUCUUUUGCCCGGAGUGGGUUGCUCAUGACUACCAGUCACUGUCACCCAGACUAAUCAACAGCAUUUGUUCAGAACUGGUGAGACUCCUCGCCCAGCAAGACAGUGCCUCGCUUUUCAAUGAAGGUUCCGCAGAGUAGCAAGAAAGAAAAUAGGAAGAUGACAGUUGGCACGGACAGCUUGCCAUGGCCUGGCGCUGUGAGAAGAACCAGAAACUGAGGCAUAGGGAUGCUAAUGGACUGUCUGCAGCCAGGCUUGGCAAGGCCGAGCUUUCAGCCCACACCAUGCCCCAAUGGCGCUACAGAACAGAAUUAGAAUACACUUUCACUGUCUAUGGGCUUCUGCCACCAAAGACCUUCAUGGUCACCCACAGCUGCCCCUUGAACUGCAUUCUUAAUUGCUAAAGUGGUGUCACCAUCCCAGAAGUUUGGGCAACUCUGAGCUGGGUUUCUCCUAAGACUACUCCAGCCUUGAAAGUCUCUUCUCUGGCACGAUCUCUUCAGGACCGUCCUAGCAUCUACUUACUUAAUACAGCUCCCCUUAUCAAAUACAUGAAGGUGUGUACCUACACGCCUAGCUAUAAACUUCCUCAAAGCUAGGUUUCACCUUUGACCCUGAUCCCUUCCAACCUUCAGCAAGACUUACUUUCUCACUCAAAAGUUUUGAGUAAAGUCCUAUAGUCUGAUAUGGUGCCACACAUGUAUAAUCCUGGCAUGUGGGAAGCCAGAGGAUCAUGAAUUCAAGUUUACCCAUAGCUUAAAAGUAAGUUUGGGGAUGCUUGUCUCAAAAGCAAACUACAUCAAACAAAAAGCCAGGAAACAACCAAGCAAAUAAAAACAGUCUAGUC
rnacentral:lncRNA from 1 species